GAGAUAGCUCAGUGGCAGAGCACAUGGCUUACAGGCAGAAAGUCCCAGGUUCAAUCCCUGGCAUCUCCA